rnacentral:rRNA from 1 species
AUGUAUGUUUUGGUCAAGAACCCAGCCGGUAGGACAAUCCGCCUAAAGGUCCAUGAAUCAGAUACAUUGGGUUCAAUCAAGGCAAUGGUCCAGGAGCGGCAAUUCCUAGUCUCCAACGGGGUGCAGCUAGACGACAACCGUACGCUGGCUGAUUACAACAUCCAGCAUGAAUCCACACUCGAGCUCCAAGAGAAGAUGCAGAUCUGCGUGACGGAGACGCUGAUGAAUAGGACUUUCCCCCUCGACGUCGACAACCUGGAUACCAUCGACAACCUGAAGGCCAAGAUCGAGGACCUUGAGGGCUUCCCCAAGGCUCAACAGUGCCUCAUCUUCGACGGCAAGCGACUGGAGGAUGGGACCAACACCUUGGCGAGUCAAAGAUUCUCCUCAUCCUUCUCCCGUGUAUUCCUAGAGGAGACAUGA